AUUGAACGCUGGCGGCAUGCCUUACACAUGCAAGUCGAACGGUAGAGGGGGCAACCCCUUGAGAGUGGCGAACGGGUGAGUAAUGCAUCGGAACGUGCCCAGUCGUGGGGGAUAGCCCGGGGAAACCCGGAUUAAUACCGCAUACGACCUGAGGGUGAAAGCGGGGGACCGCAAGGCCUCGCGCGAUUGGAGCGGCCGAUGUCGGAUUAGCUAGUUGGUGGGGUAAAGGCCUACCAAGGCGACGAUCCGUAGCUGGUCUGAGAGGACGACCAGCCACACUGGGACUGAGACACGGCCCAGACUCCUACGGGAGGCAGCAGUGGGGAAUUUUGGACAAUGGGGGCAACCCUGAUCCAGCCAUGCCGCGUGCGGGAAGAAGGCCUUCGGGUUGUAAACCGCUUUUGUCAGGGAAGAAAUCCUUUGGGUUAAUAACCUGGGGGGAUGACGGUACCUGAAGAAUAAGCACCGGCUAACUACGUGCCAGCCGCCGCCGUAA
rnacentral:rRNA from 1 species